GUGCUUGCUUCGGCAGCACAUAUACUAAAAUUGGAAUGAUACAGAGAAGAUUAGCAUGGCCCCUGCACAAGGAUGACAUGCAAACUCUUGAAGCGUUCCCAUGUUUU
rnacentral:snRNA from 1 species